rnacentral:lncRNA from 1 species
UGGUGAUGUCCGACAAGGCGCUGGUGAAGCAUCUGCAAAGAGAACUUGCAAGAUUGGAGCAUGAACUGAGGUAUCCAGGAUCAGCUUCCUGCACACACCAUUCUGAUGCUUUAAGAGACAAAGAUACCCAGAUCAAGAAGGUUUAUCGAAUCUUUUGAUUGCAUUUGUGUAAUGUUACCUCAUGUGUGAUUCUAUCCAUAACAUCUAUGAAAAUGCCGAUUGUUCUUUGCUUUAGAUGGAACGGGAAAUAAAGGAGCUGAUGCAGCAAAGAGAUCUUGCUCAGUCUCGUCUCGAGGAUCUGCUCCAUGCU